rnacentral:rRNA from 1 species
CCUACGGGAGGCUGCAGUGGGGAAUAUUUCACCAUGGGGGAAACCCUGAUGCAGCGACGCCGCGUGAGUGAAGAAGUAUUUCGGUAUGUAAAGCUCUAUCAGCAGGGAAGAAAAUGACUGUACCUGAUUAAGAAGCCCCGGCUAACUACGUGCCAGCAGCCGCGGUAAUACGUAGGGGGCAAGCGUUAUCCGGAUUUACUGGGUGGAAAGGGAGCGUAGACGGCGGCAAAAGGCUGGAGUGAAAUGCCGGGGCUUAACCCCGGAACUGCUUUGGAAACUGUGCAGCUAGAGUGCAGGAGAGGUAAGUGGAAUUCCUAGUGUAGCGGUGAAAUGCGUAGAUAUUAGGAGGAACACCAGUGGCGAAGGCGGCUUACUGGACUGUAACUGACGUUGAGGCUCGAAAGCGUGGGGAGCAAACAGGAUUAGAUACCCUUGUAGUC